CGCUUGAGGUUGCCGUGGCAACCCGGCGCAGGGCGCGGGCUGCCCCAGGGAACCUCCUGAAUGCGGAACUCCCCCAGCUCACAGCGCUUGUCGUUGAGGUGCGCCGGCAGCCACGCUCCCCAAGUCUAAAUUGGGGUACCCACCUCAGUGCUUUCAGUUAAAUUUCGGUUUAUGCGCGAGGGAGACCCUCCCUAGACAGCUGAAACUGCGGUCGCAUCCUUGCUUAGGGGCGCGGCACCGGACAAUACUUGCCAAGCAGCCCCCGUUUCCGGAAGAUAACGUUUAUUUAUAACUGCUGAGAGGUUGGUGUUCCCAAGAAUUCCUUAUCAGGAGUGAAUAAGAGCAGAGAAGCUGUGUAGCGCAGUGGACCAGUUCUUGGGCAACCAGCUCAUCUGAGAAGAACAUGAGGAAACCAAAGAAAGAUCAGUAAGGAGGCCAUUUCCUUACCUAACAGCACAUGGCCCAAAGUAGGUAAGACUUCAGUAUUCAUUCAAUUGAAGUGGGGAAUGGAGAAAUUUGACAGUCUUAUACCUUGAAAAGACAGAACUGGCACAAAUGAUUUCUCUUUUUACUCUUGAGUUCUAAAAAUGGAGAGAUAACUAUGAUUGGGGUUUGUACGGUACUGUGUCCAAGUCAUGUAUUAAAAUCUUCUUUUAUAAGAAUUAUUUGCAUGCAUUUCUUAUCUCCCUUCUGAACUAGAUGUCUAGAUGCCUUGAAAUUAGGAAAUGUAGUGUACAUCUCUUGCUUUG